CUGCCUCUCUACCCCACCCCACCCCACCACACCAAAGUAGGAAUCUGUGGGAAUGACAAGAGACCCAGGGCCUGUUAGGUUUUGAUGAGGGACAAAUGGGAAACUGUAAAUAUGAGCUACAAUGUGUGAGGCACCAUGCUAGAUGAUGGGAUGAAUAAAUAAUUAAAGUAAAUAAUCCUGCUUUAAUUUGAACUGAGUGUUAGCUUCUUCCCCUCCCCACUUCCUUUUUGUUUGGAAGUCUGGGCUUAGAUUAAAGCAACCAGAAAGUAAGUAGACUGGAAGCAGUCUUAAAAGAGGGCCAGAACCACGCCCUGCAUGCUGCCUUUGGCAAGGCUCGAGUCCCUCCACCGCCUGGUAAGCCCGAUGCAGGAGAGAAUCCAAAAGAGAUUGUCACAUGGCUUCAUUUGAGGGGGAUGCCAAACAUGGAUCAGGGGUGUAAACUUAGGAGGCUGGCUCUCUCCAAGAGGAGAUCCUUAGGGCAGUAUCUCCCAGACUUGUCAUUCCCUGAUAGCUGAUAACAGAUGAAAAUGAGGCCAUUGGCCCUGAAGUUACCUCUGGUGCUUGGGAACAGGAAGAAGAGAUGAGAUUCCCCCCUCAGAGAUCCGUUGUUUAGCCAGGCAGUGGCAGCAUAACAAAAGGGACAGUGCUCUGUCUGCUUAGCAUGCCUGGGAUAACUAACUGCUGACUCCAUGAGGCCUGACCAGAGGGACUUUGCUAACUGUGCAGAGGCAGCCUGGAUGUAUCACAGCAAGUAUGAAGUCUAGACGUGAACAGUAUCCUGCCUGGAACCUGGAUCCAGUGUUCAUUUUACAAGAAACUCCACUUCAGCACACCUGGGUCAUGGAGACCAGCUAAGGAUAAGAGACCAGACCCUCUCCCGCCCCCCUGCAUCCAUCAAGCCUUUGCAAGUGCUCACGAGGACACUGAGGCCGAGAGAAGCCCAGUGACUAAUUGCAAGCCCAUGACCGUGAGGUGGCAGCCUAAAGCCCAGCCAGGGCUUUCCGCCUCUGACAGCGCUGCUCAUUCAGGAAGCCGUGAAUUUUAGUUUUCUCCCCCAGUGCUUCUCUACCAGUAACCACUCUUCACUCCAGCCAUGGGGACAUUCGACAAGGCUGGAGACAUUUCAGUUGCUGCGCUAGGGGAUGCCAGUCGGGCAUCUAAAGGGUGAUGAGGCCCCCGCCAACCAUCCCACAACACCCGCAGCAGCCCCCACGGCCAAGCUGUCAAGCCCAAAGUAUCAGAGCACCCCUGUUGAGAAACCGUAGAGAAAGAUUCUCUGAUCUCUCACCAACUCGCUGGCAGCCACACCAGACAAAGUGUAUGUGGGCGAUUCAUGACGAGGGAAGGCUCAGUAGUGGCUGCGAACAUGCACCAAUUCCUGGACUGUUAAACAUGAGUUCUCGGCGGAUGGGCGAGGGGCUCUAGUGAGUGAGCCCCCUUCCCCGACCACCAUCUUCUGAAGUCCAUUAAGAGGCUAGCCACUCGUGGUGUUGCUCUCGAGUUAGAGGCCGAGGGGGUUCCAUGGGCCCCGGGUCCUCCUAGAGCUUACUGAUUGAGAUGGAGAGCAAGGGCAGGCCAGCCAGGGAAAGACGAGACGGACAAAUAACAAAACUGAAAUGCAGGCCACGCCGAUUGCACAAGCCAAGCCGGAGGCUGAGUCCAUUGCUGAGAAACGCGGAGGGGAGGACUUACUCACAGUAAGGCCAUACCUAUGCUUACUAGGACUCACGGACCGUGGGAAGCCCUGCGGAGCUUCCUGGCGAACCGAUCAACGUCGGUGCUGCUGGUGGUUAUAACUCACAGGCUACCAGGUGUUGCUUCCUUUCCCGUGCCUCUGCCUCACUCAGAAACAGCAACUCAGAAACCUACCCAGACGACAAGUCACAUGCUUUGAAGAGAAAGUGGCGGAAUUGAUUACAUCUUAGAUGUACAAGUACAUCUUGAUUGUUCCGGAUAAUAAAGGAUACAUGAGACAUGAAUAGAAAAACCACCAACGGUGAGUAAAAUAAGAAAACCAGGGAUCACUUUUUUUUCCCCCUGUUUAUUAACAUUCACACCAAACUGUAUACUUUGGUUACCAUGGUCGUGUGGUAUCUGAUGUCACAAGCCACAGCAUAUAAAAUCGCAGAGGCCACGACAGGCAGGAAGAGAGGCCUGGCCUUGUUGUCUGAGUAAUACAAACAGCCCAGUGUGCUGGAUGUGAGCCUGGAUACUGCCGCCUGCUGAGCCCAGCUCUGGAGCCCACGGGCCACCACCGCACUUCUUCCCCUGCCUCUGCCUGCCCCCUAGUGGACAAGCUUGGGAAAGCGCGGGAUUCAGCCCGGGAGCGGGGGGUGGGGGAGCAGCUUUGUGGGGACUGAAAUAUGGCUCCCUGAGAGCGUGCCUCCCCCAACCCUCCUCCCAAGCGCUGUCUGUGGAUUUCCUGGAGAAUCAGAGCUCGGCCUGGAUGCCCUGGGGUCUCCCUGGGAUGGACACGUCCACUUCCUGUGUCAUUUUCCUGGGGCCUUUGUCUAUCUCUGCCCGCCCCGAUCCCUAACUUGCAGUCGUCUUCCCUUGUGCAGUCUCCACAGGAGACUAAUGAUUCCUUCUUUGGGUCCAGCCAACUGUAGAGAACCAACAGGGUGCUGUACUAUCAAACAUGUUCCCCCUAUGGGAGCCUCUUGUGCCUCCUGUAUGUCCAGAGAGGCAUUCAUUUAUUUGUCAGAAACCUGCUAGAUGCCCAGCCCUGGAGACAUGGAAGAAACUAGGCCAAGGUUCCCACCUGGAAGAGCUCACAGCCCAGGGAAGGGACAGCUCAUCCAUCGAUGGCCACGUGAUCAGGUCUGUACCACCAGGAAGGUGUAAGCGCUGUGCCGUGGGAGCAAAGGUGGUAGCGGAAGAGGCAUUUGAAUUUGUCACGGGUGCUCGCCACAGCAGGGUUAGUCCAGCAACUGCUUUGUUCAAAUGACUCAGGAAAAUAAAUGAGGCUGGCACAGACCGUCCUGAUACCACACACCUCUAGAGUACCCUGGCUACGCUGGGUAUUCUCACCUCGG